rnacentral:rRNA from 1 species
UACGUAGGGUGCGAGCGUUAAUCGGAAUUACUGGGCGUAAAGCGUGCGCAGGCGGUUUUGUAAGCCAGGUGUGAAAUCCCCGGGCUUAACCUGGGAAUGGCAUUUGGGACUGCAAGGCUGGAGUGCGGCAGAGGAGACUGGAAUUCCUGGUGUAGCAGUGAAAUGCGUAGAUAUCAGGAGGAACACCGAUGGCGAAGGCAGGUCUCUGGGCUGACACUGACGCUCAUGCACAAAAGCGUGGGGAGCAAACAGG